rnacentral:lncRNA from 1 species
AUGAAUCAUGAACUCAGCAAACGUCAGAAGAGCCUAAAACUCAUCAAUUGGUAAAUAUCAUUUGUGCAGUGUUUAAGAGGGCAGAUAACUUGCCUCCUCAUACAACCCUCAUGCAGAUGAGAAGUAGGUAAUUAAGUCCAUCUUAGCCAUCUCCUCCCAACUCCUUUAUUCUUCCUCGUGAGGAUCUGCAGUCUCAGUCUUUGAUCUUUCUUUGCUCUGUCCUGAAGUUUCCCCGGCCAUGGAAGGAGUCUUGAGCAGAGUGUGAGAAUGGCCAGGUGGCGGAAGUGUCUGAGAAGAUCCUGCAUCGAUCCAGAAGCAGUGGGAUAAGGAAGGAGCACUGGAUGGAAGUCAGGUGUCCUGGGGCCCAGCGCUGGCCCUGCCACACAUGGUGUGAGCGCUGAACCCCUGUCCACCUAGCAAAGGUCACAUGAUGUCCUGGACCCCUGUCCUGUCCUGGACCCAUGUCCUGUCCUGGACCCAUGUCCUGUCCUGGACCCCCUGUCCACCCAGCAAAGGUCACAUGAUGUCCUGGACACCUGUCCUGUCCUGGACCCCUGUCCACCCAGCAAAGGUUACAUGAUGCUGUCUGUAAGCUUCUUUUUAUGGUUCUGAUAUCCAAAGCCACUUAAUAGCGUGGAACUUCCACUUCUCCAGUUUAAAAGGUUAAAUAUGUAUAUCAGGCUGGCUGGGCUCAGUGGCUCACGUCUAUAGUCCCAGCUACUGGGGAGGCUGAGGUGGGAGGAUCACUUAAGCCUGGGAGGCGGAGGUUGCAGUAAGCCAAGAUGGUGCCACUGCACUCCAGCCUGGGUGACAGCGAGCCCCUGUCUCAAAAACUGUAUAUGUAUAUAAGGGCCUACAUUUUUGGUUAGGGAGAGAAAGAGAAUGAAUAAGAAGCUGGUUCUUGUAUCUUGAGUCAUUACAAACUCCUCUCUCUCCCCCUGCCUGAGGCGUCCUCCUUCUUCAUUCUCUAUUCAGUUUGCAAGGCUGUUAUUCCUGCCAAAUGAGUCAUUGAUGUGGGAAAGUUAAUUUAUUUUGGCAGACAUCACCAUUGCUCCGAGAAAUAGAGACUAUGCACCCACUGUCGCAGAAGACACAAAUUAUCGUGGUGAUUCAUUCAUUCCUCCCUGCAUUCAUUCAUUCCCAGAAUACGUGAUUGUUUCUGGAACAUACACAAAUGGGCAACCCUACCUGUUGUUUUCUGUCUCAGAGAGUAGAUGUGAGAAUUAAAUGAGGUAAUAUGUAAAAGUGCUUAUAUAAUAAUAAUAAUAACUAAUCCUGAUUGAGCACGUAUUACGUGUCAAGCUGCGUGGUAAGCCUUUUACCUGCUUUAUUUAUUGUCUUUGAUCCUAACACUGCUCUGCAGGGCAGGGAUAAUGAGUACUUUAUUUCAGAGAUUCAGAGAUUGAAGCUAGGGCAGGUCAAGGUGACCUGGCCACAAGUCAUUAAACAGUGCACAAGUGGCAGAGGGAAGCCAGCCCUGAGUCUGGACUUGAAAAUAUUGCAUCAUGACCCAUAUUUAUAAGGUGGAAGCAGAACCCUGCUGCCCGUGUCUGGGUGGGCGAGAGACUGGGGAAACACGGCCAGGAAGCAGCCCGGCAGAUGGGGGCUGAGCGCACUGGCAGGGGCAGGAGGAGCUGCAGAUCUUUUCUCAGUUGAGCUUCAGAUGAGACCACAGCCCCAGCCAGCUUCUUAAGUGCAGCCUCAUAAGAAACCGUAAGCAGAGAACCAAGAUAAACCAUGCCUGAACUCCUGAUCCACAGAAACUGUGAAAUAACACAUCCCAGAGCCCCCUGCAUCUCCUGGGAGGACGAGGAUGGAUGGAAGCGUGCUGCCAACGCUGGGACACCUGCUUGCUUUCUGGGCAGUGGCCAGGAAAUCGCAUCUGCUGCCAGAAGAGAGCACCUGCACAUCCCGGAGAAGGGAAGGGGACAGAGCCGUGUGAUUCUAGCAGAGGAACACCCAUAGGAUUCCUUCUGUUGUUCCCAAGGUCCAGGCUCCCAGGCUGAGUAGGCAGGAAGGAGAAUGUGUCUUCACACAGGAAGCCUCACUGCCCAGAACAUGGGACAGAUCUAGCUGGAGCUGUGCUCAAACAGCUGUGGAGGCAUUAUAAAUCUCUCUCCCCGAGAUGAGGUUCAGAGGCUCUUGACAUGCCCUGCUAAUGGUAAAUCUUCCAGUGCCCACAGAGCAAGCCCUGGACUCUUAGAGCAUCAAGGUGAGACUGCCUGCCCCCCUUAAGCCUGUUAAUGGCAUCAGUGAUGUAUUCCCCUCCAAAUGUGGAAGGCUGCCUCUUUCUUCAUUGGAAGCAUCAAGGGAGUUUUAACUGUAAAACAGACUGUGCUUCAAAUCCCAUCUAAAUGCCUCAUCCUGAAGCUCUGACCUGCCACUUUUCUGCAAAUGACACUGGGUGAUUUGAAUGGGAUUAGAUUGGACAGUGGCCCCUGGCUGUUGUUUAAGUUUGUGUGGGUUUUGUUGUUUGUUUGUUUUAAUGCAACCUGUCUUUAAAUCUUCACUUUCAAAAAAAAAAAAAAGUGGUCAUUAGCCUUAUUUUUUAUUUAGAGGAUGUGAAGUCAGAAGUUCCCUUCCCUGAUUUAUUACCUCAUAGGUUUAUGACUUUGAAGAAUCAUUUCAUCUCUUUUAGUUUCCUCAUCUGUAGAAAGGUGAUUGUAAACUCUUUCUUAUCGGCUGGAUACAAAGAUGAAAUGAGAUAUCCU